rnacentral:lncRNA from 1 species
UCCAGGACUUAAACUGUGAUAGAGUGGCUGAUAGAGUGUCCCAAAAGAUGGGACCACUGGUCAGCUGCCAUGGACUAGAUUCUCCACCUGUUGGGGGCAAUCUGGUCACCUUGCUGCCCAAUCCUGACCUGGAGCCACCACAGCACAAGUGUCAAGCACUGGCAGAAGCCCAUGGGUGGAGGAAAGACCUCUGCGACUGGCUGAUUGACCCCUGCUGAAAGCCGAGGACCUUGUCCACAGACAGGAACAGUUCUCUUCAUGAAGGUCAGAGAUAAGUGGGUGCUGCCGUGGUGGACAACACAAUGUCAUCUGGGAUGGCUGAACUUCUACCCCCCAGCACAUCAGCGCUGCAGAUGCCUUUACCAUCUCUUGGAUGCCCUGGUGAAGCCAACAACUGCCUACAAGAGACAGCC